UGUUAUUCUCUGCAAGUGUUCCCGGAAUUCUGAAGAUCCCUGUUUUUGCCAAGACUCAGCAUCCAAAAGUAUUUCCCUCGGAGAAUCCCUUGCCCUACAAUCUGGUGUCAGAGAGUGGAAUGUGGCUCGGCGCUCCCAAUCGGGGAACCAACCCACAGUUUCAAGGUCAGAGACACAGUGUGCAUCAGACAGCUGAAUAAAGCAAAGAAAGGAGGAUUUCCAUACGACCCACCUACCGAAGUCGUGGCCAUCACCUGUACUGCCGUUCUCACGGCCCAAGAGCCCAUCUGGAUCCAUGCAUCUAGGGUAAAGCUCUGUCCAAAGAGGGGUGAAGUUGGCUGUCUAGUCCCUUCUGAAACAUCUAUACCGCCUAUACAGGACGACCCAGGAUAACAGUUGUGCCUUAAGAGGGGUGAAGUGUUCACAAAGUCCCUUCUGUAACACCUAUAUCAUCCUCAGCUGCCAGUCCAGAGAGGGGUGAAGUUAGUUGCAUAGUCCCUCCUGUAACACCUGUAUUGUCUUCAGCAAUAAGUCCAAAGAGGGGUGAAGUUGGUCGUAUAGUCCCUUCUGUAACACCUAUACCUUCUGGAGCAGCGGAACCAACACCAUGAUUGUCCCCAGUAUCGUAUGCCAGGUCUAUGUCGCCCUGUGCAUCAUAUGUGCCUUGCUUAUUAUACCAGCCUGGCUUUUUGGCACAUGCCAAGACCCACCCUCUGAACAUGGCCCUUUGGCCCACUUCUGCAUGACCCUGAUUGGAGCAAACCCCUCAAACUCAACGACCCCGCCAGCUCCACCUGCCCCAGCUAUCCGUAGGACCAGGAGGUCCACCUCCGUUAAGUUUACCACGGUCUACACCAAUGGGCGCACUCAGGUUGCACCCGCUCAGGAUCGCCUGCUGUUACCACACUAUGGUUUAACUCAUCAAAUACACAUGUGGCCAGUUACACCUUUGAUUAUUGCGACAUCCAGCGUGACCAUUGGUCUACUCGGGAGGGAUGUAGGCAAGGCCCUGAAUGGCAAUGUCACCGUUAUAACUUUUAUGCAAGCUCUAUAUAUAUGUGUGUUGUAGAUGAUUACUGGGGAAAUCAAUGUAGUUCUUGGGGGGCUGUGGGUUGGAAUACUCCACCCACCCGGGAAUGGGGGUACAAACCUCAGUCAGCAAUGUAUAGGAAAGAUAAGAAUGGUGUAUCCCUCCUUACUAGAAUGACCCUAUCUAAGUCCAGUACCUGUUCUAUCACAGGCAAAACCGGAACUAAUAUGAAACUUACCCUCACCAUAGAAAACCCUAACCCUAAUGACACAGGUACCUAUUACCUUUCGGCUUGGCAACAAGGGAUUAACUCACCCAACACAGGCGCCUGCUUUCACAUUAAAGAUAUGUUUAACUCCUCUGAGUGGUCCAAUAUUGUGUCAUCUCUUGUGGUCCAAUAUUGUGUCAUAAAACAGACCCCCUCUUCCAACGAACCAUGGUUGCCAUGGCUGACCUGUCACCAAGGGAUACUAUGGCCAUAGAAACAGGUUACUCAGACCGAAAUCUCUGAUUAGAAUGGAUGACCUUUUCAGCCAAACAAUAUAAUAAAUCAAAUUGUUAUGUCUGUGGUAAUGCCCGCCCUCACCUAGGUACCGUCCCCCUUAACAUUCCCACUAGUGCCGAGGCAUGUUUUCUCAGCCUCUAUACCAAUACUUCAACUAACCAUUCAGCCUGUACCACCUGGAAACGGGAAUACCCCAUCCUUACAAAGGUCCCACAUCCAGGUGAAGGCAUUACUUUAUACCCUGGUGAUUACACCUGCUACCGAGGCCAAAGUAAGGGCAGAUUUUUGGGUAACUUUACAUCUAACUACUGCUCUCACUAUAGUACACUCACCAAUCAACAUCAUACUCAGUCCUUAGGUGACAUAUAUUGGAUUUAUGGGGACAUGAAAAUUUGAUUAGAAGGAAAGUGUUCUGGGGAAUGUGCUCUAGCAAAAGUUAUUAUGCCUCUCCAUAUUUUAGGUGAAAAUAACACAGACACACAUACUCACCCCACCUCCUCUCACCGUACACGAAGAGAGGCUAUCCCAGGUAGCUUUGACCCCCAUAUAUAUAUAUAUAUAUAUAUAGAUGCCAUUGGUGUUCCUAGAGGGGUCCCAGAUGAAUUUAAGGCCCGUGACCAGGUCAAAGCUUGCUUUGAAUACAUCUUUCCAAUCAUAACCGUCAAUAAGAACGUUGACUGGAUCAAUUACAUAUUUUAUAACCAACAACGUUUUGUUAACUUCACCACAGAUGCACUUAAAGGGCCACUGUAAGUAAAUAUUUUCUAUGCCUGUUACUAACUAACUACCCCAAAUACGCUUUUUAUCAAUAGCAUUUCAUUAACAUAUCUCUACCAUAUAUCAGAAAUCUUGUCUGCAAAUUUAAUUGUUUUCCAAACCCACUCCGUGGGUAUCCUUUGCUCUGUACCAAUCCGUUUACAAUACCUAGGUUUCAAAAUGGCGCUUUAAAGACAAAGUUAUUGGUUUAAGUAUUUUGAACAUGCAGUGCUGAAAAUAGUGGGCAGGAUAACGUGACAUCAUCGGCGAAUAAAAGAUAUAACUUUAAGAACAUUAUGAAACUUUGUUUUGGAGAAAAUAUAGGUCAGUAGGUUUUAAUUAAUGUUUAUUAACUUUAAUAUGUUAGUUGUUUAGCUUAAAAAUUAUAACAGAAAGUAAUCCUUUAAGGGCAUAGCUGACCAACUUGGCCCGACCUCUUACAUGACUUUCCAAAACCGUAUGGCCCUAGAUAUGCUCUUAGCCGAAAAGGGGGGUGUUUAUAAGGUUCUUGAUCCUCAAACUGGUGGAUCUUGUUGCACCUAUAUCCCUGAUAAUACAGGCCCCACAGGGAAAGUCACGCUUGCUAUUAAGAAAUUAGAAGAAUUAUCUAUUGAAUUAAAGAAAAACUCUGGCAUUGAUAACUCCUGGGAUAAAUUCUUCACUGGUUUAGGUCUUUUAGAUUGGCUCAAAAAUAUUGGUACCAUUAUUGUUUAUAUUGCUCUCUUUAUUCUUUUUUGCUAUUGUGGUUUUAAAAUAUUUGUUUCAUGCAUUGCUAAAUGUGCUGCAACGCCUGCCGCUUCUAAUCCCCAUUGUCCACAAUACCUGUACGUUCACCCUUCCACACAUGCCUCUGCCCCAUACCUCCAUGUCCCAGUCCAUCCUAGAUACUAGUCCUAAGGUAGUCAUUGUUAUGACUAAAGAGGGGAAUUGUCAGGUAAUAUUACCUAUUUCACAUGCACUCAUUCACUCCACAUCACCUAUAAUGUUAUACACUUAUAUGCUUUCAUUCUGCACCACUUGUAAUUUUGCUAACAUUAUUUGCUAUCUGUUCUGCUUAUCUUCACAGCCUGUGUUUCACAAGUCGCUUCCUGUUUUCUGACCACAAUGCUCAGAGCUAAGACACAUGACCUAUAUGUUGCCUACAUUAUUCUCUGUAACCACAAACGGUCAUUUUCCGGUCACCUUCCUACAACACAUAUUAUGUUAUGUUAUGUUAUGCUAAGUACCAAAUAAGGCUAUAAGGAUAUUUGCUUAGCCAAUAGUAUUUUGUUACGUAUGGGAUGCCUGCGUGCACCCAUGGCUAUAUAACUCAUUGUUGUACCCAUAAUAAAUGAGCACUUGCUAAUGACAA